GAUGAACGCUGGCGGCGUGCCUAAUACAUGCAAGUCGAGCGAACAGAUGAGGAGCUUGCUCCUCUGACGUUAGCGGCGGACGGGUGAGUAACACGUGGAUAACCUACCUAUAAGACUGGGAUAACUUCGGGAAACCGGAGCUACUACCGGAUAAUAUAUUGAACCGCAUGGUUCAAUAGUGAAAGACGGUUUUGCUGUCACUUAUAGAUGGAUCCGCGCCGCAUUAGCUAGUUGGUAAGGUAACGGCUUACCAAGGCAACGAUGCGUAGCCGACCUGAGAGGGUGAUCGGCCACACUGGAACUGAGACACGGUCCAGACUCCUACGGGAGGCAGCAGUAGGGAAUCUUCCGCAAUGGGCGAAAGCUUGACGGAGCAACGCCGCGUGAGUGAUGAAGGUCUUCGGAUCGUAAAACUCUGUUAUUAGGGAAGAACAAAUGUGUAAGUAACUAUGCACGUCUUGACGGUACCUAAUCAGAAAGCCACGGCUAACUACGUG
rnacentral:rRNA from 1 species